CAGAUACUUGAAAAUGUCAUUGCGAAAACUGUUUCUAUCCAGGCUUAAGGACUCUCCACGGCUGGUAUCGAUCAAGAAAACAUAGUCCAGUUUGUGUUGGUUGACUAGUUCUGAGCACGGAUGGCACCUGUGCUGGAUUGUGGUUUAAAUACCCAGUGUCACUUCAUUGAAGAAAAUGGAUUUUUCCUCUGCCAGAAGUUAUCACUUUCAACUAGCUUCUUGGUUAAAGAAUGUACCAGUAACCUUGUGUAGUUGCUAGUGUGGCUGAUAAGCAAUGGAGUUUCUCUCCUUCCCAUCAGUGAGCUUCUGAAAUCUCAAGUUUGUAUUUGAUUGCUUAUUAAGUGUUUGUCAAAAGAGAGGCUGACUCAGCUCUGUUAAUUGGUGUGGCAUCCCAUAUUCUCUCAAACUAACUUGGCCAGAUACAGAAAAAUAAAGAUCUGCUAAUUGGUUC
rnacentral:lncRNA from 1 species